rnacentral:rRNA from 1 species
GAGUUUGAUCAUGGCUCAGAAUUAACGCUGGCGGCAUGCCUAACACAUGCAAGUCGAACGAGAAACCCCGGUUCGCCGGGGGAGUAAAGUGGCGCACGGGUGAGUAACGCGUGGGUAAUCUACCUCGGUCUGGGGGAUAACGCAUCGAAAGGUGCGCUAAUACCGCAUAAUCCGACGGACUUUCGGGUCUUUCGGCAAAGAUGGCCUCUACAUGUAAGCUGUCGAAUCGAGAUGAGCCCGCGUCCCAUUAGCUAGUUGGUAGGGUAAAAGCCUACCAAGGCGACGAUGGGUAGCUGGUCUGAGAGGACGAUCAGCCACACUGGAACUGGUACACGGUCCAGACUCCUACGGGAGGCAGCAGUGAGGAAUAUUGCGCAAUGGGGGAAACCCUGACGCAGCGAUGCCGCGUGGGUGAAGAAGGCCUUCGGGUCGUAAAGCCCUGUCGGGUGGGAAGAACAGUCUGGGAGUUAAUACCUCUCAGGUUCGACGGUACCACCAAAGGAAGCACCGGCUAACUCCGUGCCAGCAGCCGCGGUAAGACGGAGGGUGCGAGCGUUAUUCGGAAUCAUUGGGCGUAAAGGGUGUGCAGGCGGCUGGUCAAGUCAGAUGUGAAAGCCCAGGGCUUAACCCUGGAAGUGCAUUUGAAACUGAUCGGCUUGAGU